AACUUUUCGCAGUGGCGAUAACGUGACCAGUGGGGCUCUGCCGAGGUGCGUUUAUGGCUGGGUGAAAACUUUUCCCAAGUGCCAGCGAUGGCCCCUGAAACAUGGACGUCAUACGCAAUUUUUGAACCCUCUCAGUGGGG
rnacentral:snRNA from 1 species